CGGACGGGUGAGUAACACGUGGGUAACCUGCCCAUAAGACUGGGAUAACUCCGGGAAACCGGGGCUAAUACCGGAUAACAUUUUGAACCGCAUGGUUCGAAAUUGAAAGGCGGCUUCGGCUGUCACUUAUGGAUGGACCCGCGUCGCAUUAGCUAGUUGGUGAGGUAACGGCUCACCAAGGCAACGAUGCGUAGCCGACCUGAGAGGGUGAUCGGCCACACUGGGACUGAGACACGGCCCAGACUCCUACGGGAGGCAGCAGUAGGGAAUCUUCCGCAAUGGACGAAAGUCUGACGGAGCAACGCCGCGUGAGUGAUGAAGGCUUUCGGGUCGUAAAACUCUGUUGUUAGGGAAGAACAAGUGCUAGUUGAAUAAGCUGGCACCUUGACGGUACCUAACCAGAAAGCCACGGCUAACUACGUGCCAGCAGCCGCGGUAAUACGUAGGUGGCAAGCGUUAU
rnacentral:rRNA from 2 species